rnacentral:rRNA from 1 species
GACGAACGCUGGCGGCGUGCUUAACACAUGCAAGUCGAACGGAAAGGCCCUGCUUUUGUGGGGUGCUCGAGUGGCGAACGGGUGAGUAAUACGUGAGUAACCUGCCCUUGACUUUGGGAUAACUUCAGGAAACUGGAGCUAAUACCGGAUAGGAGCUCCUGCUGCAUGGUGGGGGUUGGAAAGUUUCGGCGGUUGGGGAUGGACUCGCGGCUUAUCAGCUUGUUGGUGGGGUAGUGGCUUACCAAGGCUUUGACGGGUAGCCGGCCUGAGAGGGUGACCGGCCACAUUGGGACUGAGAUACGGCCCAGACUCCUACGGGAGGCAGCAGUGGGGAAUAUUGCACAAUGGGCGGAAGCCUGAUGCAGCAACGCCGCGUGCGGGAUGACGGCCUUCGGGUUGUAAACCGCUUUCGCCUGUGACGAAGCGUGAGUGACGGUAAUGGGUAAAGAAGCACCGGCUAACUACGUG